AACGAACGCUGGCGGCAGGCCUAACACAUGCAAGUCGAGCGCGCCCUUCGGGGUGAGCGGCGGACGGGUGAGUAACGCGUGGGAACGUGCCCUUUUCUACGGAAUAGCCUCGGGAAACUGGGAGUAAUACCGUAUACGCCCUUUGGGGGAAAGAUUUAUCGGAAAAGGAUCGGCCCGCGUUGGAUUAGGUAGUUGGUGGGGUAAUGGCCUACCAAGCCGACGAUCCAUAGCUGGUUUGAGAGGAUGAUCAGCCACACUGGGACUGAGACACGGCCCAGACUCCUACGGGAGGCAGCAGUGGGGAAUCUUAGACAAUGGGGGCAACCCUGAUCUAGCCAUGCCGCGUGAGUGAUGAAGGCCUUAGGGUUGUAAAGCUCUUUCAGCUGGGAAGAUAAUGACGGUACCAGCAGAAGAAGCCCCGGCUAACUCCGUG
rnacentral:rRNA from 1 species